AUUUAAAGAGUGCGUAAUAGCUCACUGGUCGAGUGACUCUGCGCCGAAAAUGUACCGGGGCUAAACGUAUCACCGAAGCUGUGGAUUGACAUCUUAGAUGUCAGUGGUAGGAGAGCGUUCUAAGUGCUGUGAAGUCAGACCGUAAGGACUGGUGGAGCGCUUAGAAGUGAGAAUGCCGGUAUGAGUAGCGAAAGACAAGUGAGAAUCUUGUCCACCGAAUGCC
rnacentral:rRNA from 2 species